AGUGUGUUGUAUAUCAAUAUAAUAAUAAUAAUGACGAUGAUAAUGAUAAUGAUAAUGAUAAUGGUAAUGAUAAGUAAUUGACAAUGUUCUCCGUUUGUUAUAUAGAUCAUAAUCUACCGAGUAGAAUCUAAUAAUGAUCGACAUCGGUGAACAUUUAAAUUUUCAAUCAUCUAGAAAUAUUAAUAACCAUUUUUUAAGCUUGCUCGUAAGAUUAAACGACCUACUCGCUGCUUCCUCGAUUAAAAUGAAAAAACAAAAAAAGACAAAAAAAGAAACAAAAAAAAAGACAAAAAAAAAAAGAAAAAAGGAAAAAGAAUCUCUACAUUUACAAAUGAUAAGACUUGAUGUUAUUAUGCUCGUAUAUAUUUAGAUAAAAGAUUAAUCAGUAUUUUUAAAAAUUGCCUUUGCAUACAGCUCGAUCGAAUCGAAUUCGAUGGAAAGUUUUCGAAUUUGCUAAAAAAGAAAAAAAGAAAACGAAUUUGUAUUUUACGUUUCUAUUUGAAGAAGAAAAGUGUAAAUAAUUUUUUGUAAUUCGAUCGCCGUCAUGGUAUUUAUCUAAAAAAGAAGAAAAAAACAACAAAAAAAAAAAAAUAAAUAAAUGAAGUAAAGAAAGGAGAGCAUUGUAAAGGCAAUAUGUGAAACGUGUCGAUAAUUUGAUGAAUGAUUCUUAUACGCCAAUUAAUAUAAAUUAAGAUAAAAAUAAAAAGAUAAAAGAUCUCACGCUUAAGAAAUUAAAAGAACAAAAGAAAAUGAAAAGUAACAAAUUAAAUCGACUAAAAUAAUUGAGUUGAAUUAUAUCGAUUCUAUUCUAAAGAAUCCGAUUAAUUUUAACUCCAACGGUACAAGUUAAAUUCUUAAACGUAUUAUCUAUAUUUAUUUUUUGUAUUUCGGAGAAGAAGCAGAUGUUAUAUACAUAUAUCAACGUUGUGAUCAACGUCUAAUUAAUAAAGGAUCUUAUGAUAGAUAAUGAAGUGUGUUAUGUGAAUUUAUUAUCAAUUAUUUUUAAUAAACACAUAUAUAUAUAUAUACAUAGCUAACAAUAAUCCCAUUUGAUCCGCAAGUGGAUGUGCAUACGAUAGCUGUAUCAUAUGUAUUAUUGUGUAAUUAUCAUUGAUCUAUCAUUAAAUUUACAUUGGAUGCAAAGUGCGAGGAUAAAAAUGAUUGUUGAAGUGCGAAACAUAACGAUUACAAUUUUACAUAACGCAGAAUAUUCAUGCACACUCACAUAAAUAUUAAAUGUCAUUUUUCUGUCACGGAAUCUUAUCUUUUUAUCUUUAGAUCUAUCCCAUCGCAUUUUCAUAUUGCACGUUAAUAUAAGCCUAGUAUUUUUUUUAAUGACGUUUCUUCUGAUACUUGACUUAUAUCAUUUUUAAUGUCAGGCAUUUAUUAAAGACAACUUUUUUCUAAAAAAUGGGACGGUUAAAAUGGUCUGUUCAUGGACUUCCACAAUGUUUGCUUUAAAUAGUUCGCUUUAAAUCUAAAUUAAAAGGAACAAAUAUUGAAGAAAUAAAAACAACGUUUAUUAAUCGAUCGAUGAUAAACUAAUAAAGGAAAGCAUAAAAUUAUUUUCUUCGAAGGAGAUAACAUUUAUACUAAUCAGCAUGACGAUCGUAAUAUUCCAAAUGGUUAUAAGUCAUUCAACAAUUAAUAUUUAAUAAAGAGUAUCCUUUAUCCUUGUCGUGUAAGAAUUUUCUUCAUAAAUUUCAUUAUAUCGUAGUCUGUCGAUUCGUUCUAUUUGAGAAAUAGUCCGAUUCGUUCGAUUUGAGAAAUACAUAAGAAAAUAUGAGAUUCUUUAUACAAUUAACGAAACUCGUUCCUCUUUUUCUUCUUCUUUCUACGAAAAUCGCAAGAUCUUACGAAUUUCUUUCUAUCGGCGAAGAACAAGUUCCUUUUAUCAUCGACAUUUGCAAAUUAUACGGAAUGAAAUCAAUAAUUUUCUUGUACUCUGAUUCAAUGAAAGGUGUUAUCAUAAUAUUUUUAAUUUUCAUUUCUUCAUUUGAAUUAUCAUUGUAUUCCUUUUUCUCAGAAAUGGAAAUGAAAACGAUGAUUUUUAAAUGGACGCGUGUGCUUUCUCGCGAAGGAUUUACGUCUACGAACUUGUACUUUUCGGAAUUGCACAAAUCGUUGUACUAUGUAGGACGAAUCAUACAACCAUAUUAUAUCGCUGUGAUUUCAAAUUAUAAUGCGAUUAAUGAGUUCUCCUUAGCAACCAGUACAUUUGACAUGUCUUUUGCUGCAUGGCUAGUGUUAUUCAUUUAUAAGGGACAUGGCUCCGAUUAUUGUCACAGUCCACCAGGUAAUAUAUUUCAUUUAAGAUUCAACACGAAAAUGUUGGUACGUUGCGGUACAGAAAAUAUUUUACGAGAGUGGUAUUCGAUCGAUACGAAUCAAACCGAGAUCAACGAUUUAGCAACGUGGAACUUAGAAAAUGGAAUAACUAAAAUUGCUCCAGAUUCUCUUUAUAAAAGGAGAUAUAAUUUACAGGGUUUGGUAAUGAGAGCUGUUAUAGUUAAGGUAAAAUAUUCUCUAGUGUGAAUUUAUUUUCUAUUUUUUGGUUAAAUAAAUUAGCAUUUAUUAUUUUCUUCUUCACUAGGAUUCGUCGUUCUUAAUCGUAAACGAGGAUGGCAAAUUAGAUGGUAUAUUAGGUAGAAUAUUAAGAAACCUUUGUGUGACUCUUAAUUUUAGUAUCAACAUUGUCUCGGAAGUAGAAGAAUAUGGAAAUUGGAAUUCUAAAGAAAAGAACUGGUCUGGAGCAGUGGGAGAAUUAUAUGCUGGACGUGCUGACAUUUCUAUUUCGGAUUUUACUAUUACCGGUCCCAGAUUGAAUGCUGUCGACUUUACGCUUCCUCUUUUGCUUACGAAAAAAUGUCUUUUCAUUCGCGAACCACAAAUAUUUGCGAUUAAAUGGUCAUCUUUUAUUCUAGUACGAUACCUGGCAAUCAAAUAUUUUCUUUUUCUUUGGUUAACCUUUAUAAAUUAAAAAAUUGAUAUUUUUCUAAGGCAUUCUCCUAUUCCAUUUGGAUAGCUAUAUUGGUGAUAUUAAUUGUCGGAUCGAUUUUACUAAUUUUUCUCAAAAUAAAGAAUGGAACCGAUCGUAAAGUAAGAGAUUUGUUGUCAGACAAUUUUUUGGAGAUUUGGGGUAUAUUUUGUCAACAGGGUCUGGCAGGUAUGAUACGAUAUUUCUUAAAUUAUCUUCCAAUUGUUUCUUUCUUGUUCUUCUUCUUUUUCUUUUUUUAAUGGUUAUAUUUAUAUAAAUUAUUUGUUUCAUUUAGAUUUUCCUGAUAGAUCUUCUUUAAGAAUAGCAUACUUUUCUAUCCUUCUUUUGACUGUUGUAUUAUCAGCCGCUUAUUCUGCAUCUUUGACGAGCUUUUUAACUACCGGUAUUCACAAAUUACCCUUUCAUUCAUUAGAGACGUUCGUUGAAGACGGUACUUAUCAAUUUUCCGUUUUUCGUGGUACGUCUAGUUAUGAUAAAUUUGCAGUGAGUAUUAUAUUUUUAUCUACGCUGUUAUGUACAUAUAUAUACAUAUAUAAUAAGUACAUAAAGACAAGUGAAAAUAUAUAUUUGUAGAAUUCGGAACAUCCGCUUGAAAAGAAAUUAAUGAAGUUGAUGUUAGAAGAAGAAAAAUUGACACCAAAUGUAGUAGAAGGAUUUAGAAGAGUACGCUAAAGUAUUAUAAGAAAACAAAAUGAAAUAGUAUAUAUAUAUAAAAUUUUCUUUUUAAUAUCUGUUAUUUGAAUCACAGGUUUGUAACAAUCGGAAACUAGCAAUCUACACGUCCGAGGAAGUACAAAAGAUUGCAUAUCUUAAAAUACCAUGUAACCUAGCUUCUAUUGAUACAGGACGCGUAGAGAGUGUAGCAAUGAUUUUAUCCAAAAACAAUCCAUUCACAAAAGUUAUCAAUUUUCACUUGCAGAAAUUUAUCGAGAAUGGAAUGAUGAAUCGUUUGAAGGAUACGGCUUUCAAGAAGAAAUCCGGUGAUGUGAAGAAGCAUGAGCCGGUUUGCAUAAACAGCGUUAUGUCGCUUAUUCUCUUUAUCCAAACUGGUAUCAUUUUGAGUAUUUUUAUUCUGAUCAUAGAAAAAUGUAUAUUUUCUUCUAAAAUGAAGAAGGAGUCAAUGAUAGAUCGUUCUCUUUCGAAUAAAUCGUCAUGCGUUAAUUUGAAAAGGAAGAGAGAUAUAAAAAAUUUUACAAAAUAUCACAGGAAUCGGAAACGACAACGCGAAAACUAAUAACGACAAGGCUUAUGUUCGUUUUUAAACGAAUUCUUCAUUUUGCUUGUAAUUUUCUAAUAUUACACAUUCUUAAUCUAUUACAAUAGUUGUCUACAAUAAUCACAUGCAUUCGUAUAUAUAGAGAAAUUAUAAUACAAUGUUUGUUGGUAAUAAAUCAUUUUGUCAAAUAAUUGUCUCGUUUAUAUUAAUCGAUUUAUGUUAAUUUAUU